rnacentral:rRNA from 1 species
GAAGGGGGCUAGCGUUGUUCGGAAUAACUGGGCGUAAAGCGCACGUAGGCGGAAUGUUAAGUGAGGGGUGAAAUCCCAGGGCUCAACCCUGGAACUGCCUUUCAUACUGGCAAUCUAGAGAUCGAGAGAGGUGAGUGGAAUUCCGAGUGUAGAGGUGAAAUUCGUAGAUAUUCGGAGGAACACCAGUGGCGAAGGCGGCUCACUGGCUCGAUACUGACGCUGAGGUGCGAAAGCGUGGGGGGAGCAAACAGGAUUAGAUACCCUGGUAGUCCACGCCGUAAACGAUGGAAGCUAGCUGUCGGGCAGUUUACUGUUCGGUGGCGCAGCUAACGCAUUAAGCUUCCCCGCCUGGGGAGUACGGUCGCAAGAUUA